rnacentral:rRNA from 1 species
CUGGUUGGUGGGGUAAGAGCCUACCAAGGCGACGAUCGGUAGCUGGUCUGAGAGGACGAUCAGCCACACUGGGAUUGAGAACGGCCCAGACUCCUACGGGGGGCAGCAGUGAGGAAUUUUCGGCAAUGGGGGCAACCCUGACCGAGCAACGCCGCGUGCAGGAAGAAGGUCUUCGGAUCGUAAACUGCUUUUCUCGGGGAAGAGAACGGACGGUACCCGAGGAAUCAGCCCCGGCUAACUACGUGCCAGCAGCCGCGGUAAUACGUAGGGGGCGAGCGUUGUCCGGAGUUACUGGGCGUAAAGCGCACGCAGGCGGUCGUGUAAGUUUGGGGUUACAGCUCCCGGCUCAACUGGGAGAGCGCCUUGAAGACUGCAGGACUUGAGGGCCAGAGAGGGACACAGAAUUCCGGGUGUAGUGGUGAAAUGCGUAGAUAUCCGGAGGAAUACCAAAGGCGAAGGCAGUGUCCUGGCUGGUGACUGACGCUGAGGUGCGAAAGCUAGGGGAGCGAACGGGAUUAGAUACCCCGGUAGUCCUAGCCGUAAACGAUGACCACUAGGUGUGGGAGGUAUCGACCCCUUCCGUGCCGUAGCUAACGUGAUAAGUGGUCCGCCUGGGGAGUACGGUCGCAAGAUUAAAACUCAAAGGAAUUGACG